AGAGUUUGAUUCUGGCUCAGAACGAACGCUGGCGGCGUGGAUAAGACAUGCAAGUCGAACGAGAGAAUUGCUAGCUUGCUAAUAAUUCUCUAGUGGCGCACGGGUGAGUAACACGUGAGUAACCUGCCCCCGAGAGCGGGAUAGCCCUGGGAAACUGGGAUUAAUACCGCAUAGUAUCGAAAGAUUAAAGCAGCAAUGCGCUUGGGGAUGGGCUCGCGGCCUAUUAGUUAGUUGGUGAGGUAACGGCUCACCAAGGCGAUGACGGGUAGCCGGUCUGAGAGGAUGUCCGGCCACACUGGAACUGAGACACGGUCCAGACACCUACGGGUGGCAGCAGUCGAGAAUCAUUCACAAUGGGGGAAACCCUGAUGGUGUGACGCCGCGUGGGGGAAUGAAGGUCUUCGGAUUGUAAACCCCUGUCAUGUGGGAGCAAAUUAAAAAGAUAGUACCACAAGAGGAAGAGACGGCUAACUCUGUGCCAGCAGCCGCGGUAAUACAGAGGUCUCAAGCGUUGUUCGGAAUCACUGGGCGUAAAGCGUGCGUAGGCUGUUUCGUAAGUCGUGUGUGAAAGGCGCGGGCUCAACCCGCGGACGGCACAUGAUACUGCGAGACUAGAGUAAUGGAGGGGGAACCGGAAUUCUCGGUGUAGCAGUGAAAUGCGUAGAUAUCGAGAGGAACACUCGUGGCGAAGGCGGGUUCCUGGACAUUAACUGACGCUGAGGCACGAAGGCCAGGGGAGCGAAAGGGAUUAGAUACCCCUGUAGUCCUGGCAGUAAACGGUGCACGCUUGGUGUGCGGGGAAUCGACCCCCUGCGUGCCGGAGCUAACGCGUUAAGCGUGCCGCCUGGGGAGUACGGUCGCAAGAUUAAAACUCAAAGAAAUUGACGGGGACCCGCACAAGCGGUGGAGUAUGUGGCUUAAUUCGAUGCAACGCGAAGAACCUUACCUGGGCUUGACAUGUAAUGAACAACAUGUGAAAGCAUGCGACUCUUCGGAGGCGUUACACAGGUGCUGCAUGGCCGUCGUCAGCUCGUGUCGUGAGAUGUUUGGUUAAGUCCAGCAACGAGCGCAACCCCUGUUGCCAGUUACCAGCACGUGAAGGUGGGGACUCUGGCGAGACUGCCCAGAUCAACUGGGAGGAAGGUGGGGACGACGUCAGGUCAGUAUGGCCCUUAUGCCCAGGGCUGCACACGUACUACAAUGCCCAGUACAGAGGGGGCCGAAGCCGCGAGGCGGAGGAAAUCCUGAAAACUGGGCCCAGUUCGGACUGUAGGCUGCAACCCGCCUACACGAAGCCGGAAUCGCUAGUAAUGGCGCAUCAGCUACGGCGCCGUGAAUAAGUUCCCGGGUCUUGCACUCACCGCCCGUCA
rnacentral:rRNA from 1 species